AACCUCUCAUAAAUAUUGAGUCCAAAACUGAUGGAUAAUCGGGCAUCAGAAUUCAUCGAUAUGUAACCCUGAUCGAAGAGUCCCAAACCAGUGGGACUCUUGACCCCGGUACCCAAAAUGUGUGGGACUCAUGAUCAGAGAAUCCUGAUUCUCGAUCACAGAGUCUCAGACACGUAGGACUCAUAGUCCAUGAGCAUUAAGACUCUUCAACAGCCAUC
rnacentral:lncRNA from 1 species